rnacentral:rRNA from 1 species
UCCUGCCAGUAGUCAUAUGCUUGUCUCAAAGAUUAAGCCAUGCAUGUCUAAGAAUAAGCCCUUUGAACGGCGAAUCUGCGAAUGGCUCAUUACAUCAGUGAUAGUUUAUUUGAUGGUACCUUUCGCCUUGAAAUACAGGCUGGGCUACUUGGAUAACCGUAGUAAUUCUAGAGCUAAUACAUGCUACACUAACGCCCUUUUUGUUAUAGUUUCGACUAUGACAGAAGGGGCAGCAUUUAUUAGAUUCAAACCAUCGGAGCAUUAAUUUGCUUGUUUCUCUUUUGUUAACUCAAGAGGGGAUUAGCGAUGGUGAGUCAUGAUAACUGAAGCGAAUCGGAAUGAAACAAAGCAAAAAGGACUUGCUUCUUUGAGCUUUUUCCGAUGCUUCAUUCAAAUUUCUGCCCUAUCAGCUUUGGAUGGUAGGAUUUUGGCCUACCAUGGCGAUCACGGGUGACGGAGAAUCAGGGUUCGAUUCCGGAGAGGGAGCUUGAGAAACGGCUACCACAUCCAAGGAUGGCAGCAGGCGCGCAAAUUACCCAAUCUCGAAACGAGGAGGUAGUGACAAUAGGUAACAAUGCUGGGCUGCUUUCAAUGCAGCACGGCAAGGAGCCAUUGGAGGGCAAGUCUGGUGCCAGCAGCCGCGGUAAUUCCAGCUCCAAUAGCGUAUAUUAAAGUUGUUGCAGUUAAAAAGCUCGUAGUCUGAUGGAUUGGCCAAGGUAUUUUGAGUCUUUUGCUUAACUAGAGGUUUUCAAUCUUUAGUCUAGCUAAAAGAUUUCAAGCGCCUUUACCGAAUUAGUACUUCUGUAUUGGUUUUUUAAUCAAAUCCGACACAGAUUGUUUACUUUGAGAAAAAUAGCGUGUUCAAAGCAGGCGUUGAUUCACACUUCUUUCAUUUGUAAAGAAAUGCCUUAUAUUGUGCUCUAGUUUGGGUUGUAACAAAUCAAGACUAAAGCAUGACUUGAAUACAUUAGCAUGGGAUAAUAAAAUAGGACAUUGGUUCUUGCGAAAGCAUUUGUCAAAGAUGUUUUCAUUGAUCAAGAACGAAAGUUAGGGGAGCAAAGACGAUCAGAUACCGUCGUAGUCUUAACCAUAAACGAUGCCGACUCUUGGGAUUGGGGGGCGCUGCGUGUUUUUAGUCUUUAAGGUAGUUCAUUCUGCUUUUUAGAUUUUUGAAACACAACCGGCCUCCCCAGCACCUCCGUUAAUCAAAACAUACAAGGGAAACCGUUAAGUGUUUGGGUUCCGGGGGGAGUAUGGUCGCAAGGCUGAAACUUAAAGGAAUUGACGGAAGGGCACCACCAGGAGUGGAGUUUGCGGCUUAAUUUGAC